rnacentral:lncRNA from 1 species
CUGGUUCGAUCGGCCCUCGAAACCGCUUCUUCUCUGCAACCCCAAAAGUACUACAGUUAUUUUCUUUACAUACCGUAAGAUUUCAGCCGUUUGCCUCUGUCAGCAUUUUUCCUCUUUCAGUCAUUUGACUAUGUCACCCGCACAAAUGAAAUUGAAAGAUAAAUCAAAGAAGAAAAUAGAUACGGAGAGAGCGAGAGGGGCUAAAAUAUCGAGA